GGUAAUAGCUCAGUGGUAGAGUGCAUGCCUAGCAUGCAUGAGGUUUGGGGUUCAAUUCCCAGUAUCUCCU
rnacentral:tRNA from 1 species